GGGAAAACUCAAUAAACCGUUAAAUAAAUAAACAAAAACAGGGACCAACUUGGUGGUGCAGUGGUUAAGUUCACAUGUUCUGCUUCGGCAGCCCGGGGUUCGCCAGUUUGGAUCCCAGGUGCAAACUUACGUGCUGCUUGUCAACCCAUGCUGUGACAGGCAUCCCACAUAUACAUUAGAGGAAGAUGGGCAUGGAUGUUAGCUCAGGGCCAAUCUUCCUCUACAAAAGAGAGGAAGAUUGGAGGCAGAUGUUAGCUCAGGUCUAAUCUUCCUCAAAGAAAAGAAAAAGGAAAAAAAAUAAACGAAAACAUAAUUACAUGUCAUAGUACAAGUUUUAAGGAAAUAAAAAAUUAUGUGAUAGAGAGUGUGGUAGUAUUUGGGGGUACUUAAUUUAACAAUCAAAAAGCAGCUUUUAUAAGGAGAUAAUAGUUGAACCUACAAUAGCAGAAGGAGCCAGCUUUAUAAAAUAUAGCAAGGCCAAAUGUUAUGAGGCAGGAAAGUUCUUGUCAUGUUCAAGGGACAAAAUAGAGGCCAGUGUGGCUUCCUUAGAGAGCAGGAGAGUGGUUUGAGAACACGCUAAAGUGAGAAGCAGAGUGACACUAUGUAGGGCCUUGUAGGUCAAAGUCAGCUUUAUCUUAAUAGUCAUGGAAAGCCCUUUGAAGGCAUGAAAUUGAAAGAGGAGUUGGUGAAGAAUGAGGAUGGGCAGGGUGAAAUGAUCUGAUUUAUAAUUUAGGAAAAUUUAUUCUGGCUCUUUUGUAGUGAGUGGGUUGUGGAAUGUCAAAGGAAGCAGAGAAGCCACUUGGAAGUUGACUGUGAUAAUCCUUCGAAAAGAUGUCAUGAAUUUGAAACAGAUCAUCAUAUGUGCUAUCAUCAUAAUGUAGCACAUCAUAAUGUUCUAACGUUGUCUGUUAUAUCUAUGCCUGUGACCUUCACGUCGGCAGAAAGUUGGUAUCCCAAGGCUGCCAUAGACAAACUCAAACUAACUUCAAUUAAAACAAAAAGAGCUACUGGAAGGACAGUUUGGCGAUGUGGUGGGUCACAGAAUCCGAGCAGUUGUCCAGAAUGGCAGGGAUGGCACGAGGACUCCAAAACACUCGGCGCUCAUAACUCAGAGAACCACAUUAAUUCUCCCUGGGGUUUUUUUGUUGUGUAUAAGGUUGUGUAUUAGCUUUCCUCUUCUCUUCUCCCUCUGCUUGUCUUGGGUACGUGGGAUACAGACGCUGAAGAUGCUGUACACCUGGUAUCUCUUCAAUCGCCAAUAAGAAGCUCACACAACUCUCUCUUGCUCAGUCUCCAGACACAAAAAUUGCCAAUAGUGCAGUAGGAUGCUGUGAAUAACCCAGCUUGACCAAGUGUCUACCCUUGGACAGAGGCCACAUUACUAGAGGAGACUGCAAUCCAAGAUUGAGGAUAGAAUUGUAAAAAUGACACAUUGUGUCCACUCCUUGAUGAAACUCAAGACAUAUCAGCUACCCUAAGAUGAAUGAAAUAAUUUAUCAAAUCCACGCUUGCAGGGAAUUUUCUAAACUUACAAGCAGUGGAAGAUAUCAUGAAAGCCAGGACACAUGCAUUUGAUUACCUAAGAAGGAAAAAACAGUCUUGCAUCAUAAGAAUCCACCCCCAAUAAAAAGAUAAUCGACAAAUAGAAAACA
rnacentral:lncRNA from 1 species